rnacentral:rRNA from 1 species
AACGAACGCUGGCGGCAUGCCUAACACAUGCCAGUCGAACGAGACCUUCGGGUCUAGUGGCGCACGGGUGCGUAACGCGUGGGAACCUGCCUUUAGGUUCGGACUAACUCAGAGAAAUUUGAGCUAAUACCGGAUGAUGUCUUCGGACCAAAGAUUUAUCGCCUUUAGAUGGGCCCGCGUUGGAUUAGCUAGUUGGUGGGGUAAAGGCCUACCAAGGCGACGAUCCAUAGCUGGUCUGAGAGGAUGAUCAGCCACACUGGGACUGAGACACGGCCCAGACUCCUACGGGAGGCAGCAGGGGGGAAUAUGGGACAAUGGGCGAGAGCCUGAUCCAGCAAUGCCGCGUGAGUGAUGAAGGCCUUAGGAUUGUAAAGCUCUUUUACCCGAGAUGAUAAUGACAGUAUCGGGAGAAUAAGCUCCGGCUAACUCCGUG